AACGAACGCUGGCGGCAGGCUUAACACAUGCAAGUCGAACGCGUGCAGCAAUGCACGAGUGGUGCACGGGUGAGUAACGAGUGGAUAUCUGCCUUUUGGUUCGGAAUAACCCCGGGAAACUGGGGCUAAUACCGGAUGGUUCCUACGGGAUAAAGAUUUAUCGCCAAAAGAUGAGUCCGCGUCCGAUUAGCUAGUUGGUGAGGUAAUGGCUCACCAAGGCGACGAUCGGUAGCUGGUCUGAGGACGAUCAGCCACACUGGGACUGAGACACGGCCCAGACUCCUACGGGAGGCAGCAGUGGGGAAUAUUGGACAAUGGGGGCAACCCUGAUCCAGCCAUGCCGCGUGAGUGAUGAAGGCCUUCGGGUUGUAAAGCUCUUUUGGCGGGGACGAUGAUGACGGUACCCGCAGAAUAAGCCCCGGCUAACUUCGU
rnacentral:rRNA from 1 species